rnacentral:rRNA from 1 species
CUCCAGACUCCUACGGGAGGCAGCAGUGGGGGAUAUUGCACAAUGGGGGGAACCCUGAUGCAGCGACGCCGCGUGGGUGAAGGAGUAUUUCGGUAUGUAAAGCCCUAUCGGCAGGGAAGAAAUUGGACGGUACCUGACUAAGAAGCCCCGGCUAACUACGUGCCAGCAGCCGCGGUAAUACGUAGGGGGCAAGCGUUAUCCGGAUUUACUGGGUGUAAAGGGAGCGUAGACGGCGAUGCAAGCCAGAUGUGAAAGCCCGGGGCUCAACCCCGGGACUGCAUUUGGAACUGUGUGGCUGGAGUGUCGGAGAGGCAGGCGGAAUUCCUAGUGUAGCGGUGAAAUGCGUAGAUAUUAGGAGGAACACCAGUGGCGAAGGCGGCCUGCUGGACGAUGACUGACGUUGAGGCUCGAAAGCGUGGGGAGCAAACAGGAUUAGAUACCCCUGUAU